rnacentral:rRNA from 1 species
GAUGAACGCUGGCGGCGUGCUUAACACAUGCAAGUCGAACGAAGCACUUUAUUUGAUUUCCUUCGGGACUGAUUAUUUUGUGACUGAGUGGCGGACGGGUGAGUAACGCGUGGGUAACCUGCCUUGUACAGGGGGAUAACAGUUGGAAACGGCUGCUAAUACCGCAUAAGCGCACAGCAUCGCAUGAUGCAGUGUGAAAAGCUCCGGUGGUAUAAGAUGGACCCGCGUUGGAUUAGCUAGUUGGUGAGGUAACGGCCCACCAAGGCGACGAUCCAUAGCCGACCUGAGAGGGUGACCGGCCACAUUGGGACUGAGACACGGCCCAAACUCCUACGGGAGGCAGCAGUGGGGAAUAUUGCACAAUGGGCGAAAGCCUGAUGCAGCGACGCCGCGUGAGCGAAGAAGUAUUUCGGGAUGUAAAGCUCUAUCAGCAGGGAAGAUAAUGACGGUACCUGACUAAGAAGCACCGGCUAAAUACGUG